CCCACCGCUGAGACUCCCAAAGGAAGAGGACCAACGGGACGCCGCUGGAUCCACGGGUAGGUCCUCCGUACUUGGCCAAGAUUCUGGAUCUGAAUCAUCUCUGGACACCAACUGCUCUUGCCCACAGCCACUGAAAUCAGUGGGACUUCACACACUCAUGCAGGAGUCUCAGCUGGAAAACAGAAGGAAAAUGCCCAACCUGACAUAGCUCUCAGAAUACUCAAAUGGACUUGCAGAGACCUUAAUGGAUAAAGAACAUCAAACUGCAAACUGCCUGCUCUACAUACCCUCUUCUGACUGCAUCUAAUUUACGCUUACAUAACUGAUGUCAUGGGAUACAUCCAAACUUAUUGCUGGCAGAUUCAAAUGUAAGUAUUGGCAACAAUCUUUUGUGCAUUGAGAGACUGAGAUUUAAGCAUCCAAAAACAAAACAAAACAAAACAAA